UCCUGUUUCCACUGAUCAUCCUUGAGAUGUUUCUACAGCUUGAUUGGAAUCUACCUGUGGUAAAUUCAGUUGAUUGGACCAUAUUUGGAAAGGCACACACCUGUCUAUAUAAGGUCCCACAGUUAACAAUACAUAUCAGAGCACAAACCAAGCCAUAAAGUCCAAGGAAUUGUCUGGAGACCUCCAAGACAGGAUUGUAUCGAGGCACAGAUCUGGGGAAGGAUACAGAAACAUUUUUGCACCAUUGAAGGUCCCAAUGAGCACAGUGGCCUCCAUCAUACAUAAAUGGAAGAAGUCUGGAACCAGCAGGACUCUUCCUAGAGCUGGCCACCCGGCCAAACUGAGCGAUCGGGGGAGAAGGGCCUUAGUCGGGGAGAUGACCAAAAACCCGAUGGUCACUCUGACAGAGCUCCAGCGUGUCUCUGUAGAGAGAGGAGAACCUUCCAGAAGAACAACCGUCUCUGGAGAACUCCAUCAAUCAGGCCUAUAUGGUAGAGUGGCCAGAUGGAAGCCACUCCUCAGUAAAAGGCACAUGACAGCCUAUAACAGAAUAUUGAACUCUUUGGCCUGAAUGGCAAGCGUCAUCUCUGGAGGAAACCAGGCACCACUCAUCACCUGGCCAACACCAUCCCUACAGUGAAGCAUGGUGGUGGCAGCAUCAUGCUGUGGGGAUGUUUUUCAGCGGUAGGAACUGGGAGACUAGUCAGGAUUGAGGAAAAGAUGAAUGCAGCAAUGUACAGAGACAUCCUUGUUGAAAACCUGCUCCAGAGCGCUCUGGACCUCAGUUUGGGGUGAAGGUUGAUCUUCCAACAGGACAACGACCCUAAGCACACAGCCAAGAUAACAAAGGAGUGGCUACAGGACAACUCUGUGAAUGUCCUUGAGUGGCCCAGCCAGAGCCCAGACUUGAACCCGAUUGAACAUCUCUGGAGAGAUCUGAAAAUGGCUGUGCACCGACGCUCCCCAUCCAACCUGAUGGAGCUUGAGAGGUCCUGCAAAGAAGAAUGGGAGAAACUGCCCAAAAAUAGGUGUGCCAAGCUUGUAGCAUCAUACUCAAAAAGACUUGAGGCUGUAAUUGGUGCCAAAGGUGUUUCAACAAAGUGUUGAGCAAAGGCUGUGAAUACUUAUGUACCUGUGCUUUUUUUGUUUUUUAUUUUUUAAUAAAUUUGCAAAGAUUUCAAACAAACUUCUUUCACGUUGUCAUUAUGGGGUAUUGUUUGUAGAAUUUUGAGGAAAAUAAUGAAUUUAAUCCAUUUUGGAAUAAGGCUGUAACAUAACAAAAUGUGGGAAAAGUGAAGCAUUGUGAAUACUUUCCGGAUGCACUGUAUAUAGGAAAUUAGUAGGCAAUAAUGUUUUAAUGCUUAAUGUUAUCCUGUCAAUCAUUUUGAUUUGCUUAACACACUUUUUUCCACACAUUUUGUGUUUUAUGCACUAAAGGAAAAUGGAUAAUGUUGCCUUUCUAAUAAUAUAAUUAUAUUUAUAUGGCCUGUAAAGAGUGUGUUUUUAUUGGUUUUGGGGCCUUUUUUGCGUUAUUGAGGUGGGGAUAGUAGAAAAUUGACAAGACAAUAUAGGAUAGAAGGGUGGGGGUGUGAUCGGGAAAAUACCCUAUAAGCUGGGAAACGAACCCUUCACUAUAGGAGAGAAGCAAUUGAUUUGUCACCUUUCUCUGCACUUAGACUCAACAAUGAAUUAACAAAUAAAUAGGUUAUUUACAUGAAGUAUGUUCAUGAUUUUAUUUAUUUACACUGCCUAGAGAGUACUUCAAGAUGAGAAGAAGCUGUCUCAGUAAAUGUGACUGGGUGGACAUAAAAUGGAAUGGAGGACAAAUUAACCAUUCCACACAACAGGACUGGCACAGCUGUGGAGUGUUUGUCAUUAGUUGUUGGUGCUUUUCCAAAUAUCCCUUGCCAUUUGACUAUAAACUCAUCCAAGGAGCGCAUGGAACAUCUGCAACUGACAAUGGCAGAGGAACUUCUGAAAGCCUCAGUAUUCAAGAGGGGACAUUACUGCUACAUUAUGUGCUGCCUCAAAACCCCUGGAUGGUGGUGCAAAAACAUUUUGGGUGGGUAAUGUAGCAAUGAUUAUAACAUUUUUAUGGGAACACCAUUUUGUUUACAAGUGUGUGUGUUGUGUGUGUAAGAGAGUGAGUGAAUGAAAGAGAAACUAAUUGAUUACUGAGCAAUUUGAUAAGAUUAUAUUAUCUUUUUUCAGAUUGAAUGUCACUGCUGCAAGAAGUGGUUUCAUGUGGCAUGCCUUUCUAUGUCAGAGUAGCAGUUCAAAAGGGCUCAAAAGGUUGACUGGAAGUGCUGCCUAUGUAAAUAAUUUUGAAUUCCUCUGGCUCCCAUCCACAAUCUAAACAUGUACAUAAAUAAAUUAAAAGAAAACAAAUAAAAAUGUUUGAAAUAUUAAAACAUUCGUGGAUCGUCAGUUCUUUUAAUUAUUUCAUUAAUAGGACAUCUAUUUUUUUAAGAAAACCAUUCAAUCCAGUACGGGUCAUUUUGACCCCUUUAUGCAUUCGUGAAGGUUUUUUUGGUUCAUGCAUUGUAGGGUUAA